CCACCUUUUAAUAAAAAAUGUGUUAUCAGUUUAAUAUCUGAUACGUCCCCUAUCUGGGGACCAUAUAUUAAAUUGAUUUUUGGAACAGGGAGGUGGAAUAGGGGCUUGCUCCGUCCACUCCACGCAUCGACCUGGUAUUGCAGUACUUCCAGGAGCGGUGCACUUUCU
rnacentral:snRNA from 1 species